rnacentral:rRNA from 1 species
CAGCCGCCGCGGUAAUACGUAGGGUGCGAGCGUUAAUCGGAAUUACUGGGCGUAAAGCGUGCGCAGGCGGUUUUGUAAGACAGGCGUGAAAUCCCCGGGCUCAACCUGGGAAUGGCGCUUGUGACUGCAAAGCUAGAGUGCAGAAGAGGAGAGUGGAAUUCCACGUGUAGCGGUGAAAUGCGUAGAGAUGUGGAGGAACACCAGUGGCGAAGGCGGCCAUCUGGGACAACACUGACGCUGAGGCACGAAAGCGUGGGGAGCAAACAGGAUUAGAUACCCCUGUAGUCCCUGUCUCUUAUAC